GACGAACGCUGGCGGCGUGCUUAACACAUGCAAGUCGAGCGGUAAGGCCCUUUCGGGGGUACACGAGCGGCGAACGGGUGAGUAACACGUGGGUGACCUGCCUUUAGCUCUGGGAUAAGCCUGGGAAACUGGGUCUAAUACCGGAUAUGACUCCGCGGUGCAUGCUGUGGGGUGAAAGCCUUGUGCGGCUGGAGAUGGGCCCGCGGCCUAUCAGCUUGUUGGUGGGGUGAUGGCCUACCAAGGCGACGACGGGUAGCCGGCCUGAGAGGGCGACCGGCCACACUGGGACUGAGACACGGCCCAGACUCCUACGGGAGGCAGCAGUGGGGAAUCUUGCGCAAUGGGCGAAAGCCUGACGCAGCGACGCCGCGUGAGGGAUGACGGCCUCGGUUGUAACCGU
rnacentral:rRNA from 1 species